UUCAGAAGUAUGUUCAGAAGAUGAUAAGAACUCAAAUUUCACUUGCUCAAGAUGCUGAUUGUGUAGAAUGAAGAUAUCUACAAAUGAUGGUAUAAAUCUGUAUGCAACUUAAGGUAUCAGCCGCCACCCUAUGCCAAAAAGAAGAGCCACUUUCUGCAGCAAAAAAGAGUGAAGAUGAUCAAAAUAAAAAGCAGGGCACACAAUCGUUUAAAGAGAAUACAUGUAACAUGGAAUGUGUGGGAAGCUGGAGCGCAACUCCAUCUCAGCAACAAAUAUUGGAAGAUCUCCUUAGAUAAACCUAAAAGAUUGAAGAUGCCGAAGAAAGAGAAAAAUAUAAAUACCAACAUUGGAAAAAUGCAACAUACAUAUUUUCAAGACAACACCAUCAACACACAUAUUUUCAAGACAACAUCAUUAAUGACACAACAAUUUUCGAAGCACAAAUGUAGAAUACCAAAAACAGUAACAAAGAAAAAUAAAAAAAAAUAAAAAUGAAACAACCUCAUUCCCCCCUCCCAAAACAGUGUCAUAUGGCAGGUCAAAAAACUGACACUUUAUAUUUGUAUAGAUGUGUUUCAAAGAUCUCGUGAGGGAGCUAGGAACAUUAAUAUAUACUAUAGAUUAAGCAAGUGUUGUGAUACAAAGAUGCAUUAAUGGA